ensembl:lncRNA
CAGGGCUGAUGAGAAGAGCUUCCCUGCCAAUUGAUCCUGUGUCCUCUCUGUCUGGUGAACACAGGGCUUGUGGGUUUUGCUCCUAAAUGACAGCUACCCCGCUGGGAUUCCAUUACACUGAUGGAAGGCAACCAACAAACGCCUAUGGUUCACCUCCCAAGGGCUACAGUGUGUGUGUCUGUGUGUUUGUUUGUUUGUGUGUGUGUGUGUGUGUGUGUGUGUGUUGUGGAGGUAUAUCACCCAAGGCACUACAACAUGUAGGGUAUGAAGCUGAUAUGGUGUUGAAGUAUGUCCCAGUCACCUGUGGCAACUGACAUGUUAGUCCAUUAUGAGCAUAAUCUAAUGCACACACACACACACACACACACACACACAUCCACACAAACAUACACACAGACACACUCAAACGUGCACACAUGCACACACGCACACAUACGUACACACACACGGGUCCAUUGGAUCCCUAGCCCAACUCUUGUGCCUGACCAUUAUACUGUGCCUUCGUAAACAACUACCUUGUUGAUGAUAUUAAACCAGGGCUCUCGGAUAACCUCUCUCUCUCUCUCUCUCUCUCUCUAUCUCCCUCCCUCCCUCCCUCCCUCCCUCCCUCCCUCCCUUUCUCUCUCUCUCUCUCUCUCGCUCUCUUUCUCUCUGCUUCGUACUAUCGUUACAUAACACGCUCAUGAAGAGCAUUUGGAUGCAGCAGGCCCUACACAGAAUCACCACGAGUGAUAAACUCCAACAAGUCAAGCAUUAAAACCAACAGCCGCUUUUAUCUCUCAAGAACAGCAUCCCCAUCCAGCUGGAGCGGCAUCAGAGAGACGGUCCAGGGAGGAUUACAGGGGGCAUAAAUUAGAGGAAGGAUUGUGAUGAAGAGAAUGAAAUUCACUUGAUUUGUGUGGGAGACACUAAAUCGAUUUGUUCCCAGAGAGCACGUGCUUUCGCACCUCACCAAAAUAAAAUUGGUAACCUAAGCAAAUAAGAUGAAGCAAAUUUAAUUUCAAUGCAAUUCAUUUAAUGAACAAGGAUCCCUUUUUCCCAAAACCUUGCUCCUAAAAUGCAAAUUAAGUCUUAUGCAUGCUAUACUUUGGGGGGGAUGUGAUCAUAUCCCUUGGAUAAGUUCCGACUGCUUCAAUAAUGCAUCUCAAUAUUCCCUCCACAAAGUGGUCAGUCUGUGGAGCUUUUAAAUUCAGUGGUUCUUUGUCAAUUUUUAUCUAGGCUGUGCUGACAAAGAGCUCUGCUGUCAUUUUAUCUGGGCACCAUGGAGCUUUAAUGUCAAAGGUUCACGUCUUUAGCCGACCUGCUUAAAAUAGAUGUUCACACAAAGGUGUGUGUGUGUGUGUGUGUGUGUGUGUGUGUGUGUGUGUGUGUGUGUGUGUGUGUGUGUGUGUGUGUGUGAGAGAGAGAGAGAGAGAGAGAGACUGACCGGCAGACAGAGACAAGGUUUAGAGAGAGAGAGAGAGAGAGAGAGAGAGAGAGAGAGAGAAAGAAAGUAUGUCCUUGAGACUCAAUUUAAAGACAGGACAGGUCCACCUCUCAAAGUGAUGAGAAAGCAGCUCUGUGUUAUUGGACAUGCCUGAUUGACUUCCAUAAAGUGACGAUUUGCUGCCACUACAUUUUCUGCCCGACCUUCAAAUCUCACUAGAUAACCCUCAUUUAGAUGCUCUGUGUCUUUCUAUCCAUACUGGCCUAUCUACACCCUGGACACCUUGUCUUUGAUCCGCAAAUCUGAGGACAUUACAACAACAUCAAUUCAAAUGUGAAAAUGAAGCAUUCAUUUUAAGGUGAUGCUCAAAGUAGAUCCAUCAUUCUAUGUCUUCUCACUCAUUCAGGUUCGAGUUUACUUUCUCUACAUUCGAUGCAUUCAGGUGGUCAUUUAAGUACAUUUGGUCUAAUUGACAUCCAACCUGUUUAUUCAAUUGUUAUCAUUUGCAGUUGUACUUUGGUUUGCAUUUGUACAUUUGUGUUUUGCCUUACACUGAGUUUGACGGAUACUUGUAACAUUGAAGCUCACUGUUUAUUGUAUUAAUAAACUGUUCAUUCAUUAACCACCUCAUGUGCCAUGGCGUUACAUUGUGCCACUAGCUUUUAUACUGCUUGGUAACAUUGGAGGUCAUUCAAUUAUUGUAUUUUUCCACAACAUUUACCACUCUAGUGCAUUCUAUUGUCCCAAAAUGUUAAGACACGCUUGAACCUUCCAGCCUGACGUUUUCCGUCUUUGGUAACAUUUUGGCUGCUGCUUAUUUAUACUAUAUUGGUGCAAUUCCUAACAUUCCCACUGAAUAACAUUUUCCCUUAAUGCAACUGUGAUUUACAGUAAUUCCCUGUAUAAUAAUACUAUGGUACAUAAAACUGAUUUGAACAAAUGAUACACCGCGACAGGAAAUGUUUUUUACUUACUGUAACAGGAGUGUGAUAAAAAGUUACCUGAUGUGCUCCAAUGCCAGUCACAAAUACAUCAGAGAGAAUGGAUAUAGCCACAACACGAGAUGUACCAUGA